rnacentral:lncRNA from 1 species
AUAAAUUAUGUAAUAUGCCAGGGAGAUAUGUAUACUGUAGCUAAGAAAGUAAUACUUAGUGUAUGUUGUGUAGUAAGCUGUUAGUAGCCCAUGUGCCCCACCCUAAUAAUUUGGUCUAUUUUCUUCUCUUAACUUUGCCUACUGUUCUGACUUGGUGGUGCACAUGUAGCCUAUAACCUGUUUUAGAGAAAUGUCAUCAUCAAAUAUUGUAAGAGCUUUCAUUGUCUGCUUAUAUGCCCCCUUUAUUUAUCCUAUGGUUCAGACUUGGUUUACAGGGAGAACACUGUAAGAACGGCCCAUGUUCUGAAUUCUGUCGCUGUACUGUUGGGACUCUGCUGUUGGGACAACUUUGUGUAGGCCCUAACAGUUUGUGGGCAACGUUUGUCACCAUUUUAGUGAAAUUAAUCUAUUGUUUAGUGUUGUGUUGUUGCUUUUCCGGCAUUCAUCCCUCUUUUUUUGGUUUAUCCCACCAAGCUUUACAUGCUAAAAUCGUCACGGGUUGUAAUAUUAACUUACCAUAUGUAUCCAUCUUUGCACACAUGCCAGUACAUUUUCUGAUAGGACACCUUGAGCAGGCCUUUCUUCUGGAGGUAUUUCACCUUUUAAGCUGUUUUUUUGGCUACAAUAUAUGACUUAGCACACGAGCUAUUUUCAAUUAAAAAUCCUUGGGUCAGGUAUUGGAUUUGGGUGCGCACUUUAAGAGUAAAAAUUUGUAUCCAGCUGGAAAUUGGACCAAAAAAAAGAGAGUUCACUUGUUCACAUGUUGUUUAACGUCAUCGAGGACAAAACGCAGUGACAGUCAACGCUGACCAAGGCCAACCAUGCCUACACUGGAAGACGCUUUGCCAAUUGUGCCCCACCCUAUGGGACUCCCAAUCACAGCCAGAUGUGAUGCAGCCUGGAUUCAAACCAGAAUGUCUUACAAACAAUGUAAGAAGAUGGCCUCAUCAGCAGAGAUUGAUGCCAUAACUGAAUUGGUAGAUGUCGAGAUCCCUAAGUAAGAUGUAUGGGAACCAACUGUGGUUGCUGUAGAUGAUUAUGUACCUCCCAUAGAUGGGGACAACGUUGACAAGAUGUGUGAGUCGGACAAUAGCUCAGAUUUUUCAAGCUCAGACGGCUCGUCAUCCACUGACAGUGAAUAUGAAAAAAAGAAGAAGAAGAAGAAGGGGAAAAAAGGAAACAGCUAAAUCCAGAGAAAACCUCCGGGGACCAUGAAACAACAUCCCAGGAACAUCCUGAAAACGUCCUCGGAGACAUCCCUGUGACAAACCAUGAACUAGACAAAAUCUCCAGGGGACCGUGACACAACAUCUCAAGAACGUCCUAAAAAUGUCGGCGAGGACGGCCCCGGGACAAACCGGGAACUAGACAAAACCUCCAGGCAACCAUGCCACAAUGUCCUGACCACUUUAGGCCGACCAAUUAGACACAUUUUGGUGUACAAGGAUAGCCUUGCUAUCUCCAACCAAUCAGAGUUUUUGGAAACAGGCGUCUGGACACUACACCCGCCCACUCAGGCCAGUGAGUAUUUGUUUAAUGAGUGAAGUCAUAACUUUAUCUGUAGGACUAUUAGUGUAAACAUUAUUACGAAUGCUCUGGAAUGUAGUGUGUGCAUCUACCUGUAAAUUGCAGUGGGUUUAUUAUUGGGGGGGAAUAAAAAC